rnacentral:rRNA from 1 species
AUGGCUUGGUGCUGCUACCCACCGACACCAACACCUACAUCUUUUAACCCUACCAUGAGAGAUGUCGUCGAGCUGCCUAAGAGCCACCGCAACAUGUUGCAACAUUCAACCUGCCUUCCAAUUGGAUUUGGCCUUGAUGCUUCCACGGGCAGAUAUAAGGUUGUGCGCUCUUUCUACUAUUCCAUUGAUUGCCAUCACAUUGCGAUGGGAAUGGAAGUGUUCAUCAUUAAUGAUGGCCAAGAUAGAUCUUGGAGGGAAACCUUGACUGAUCCACCCGCCCUUAUCUCGUGUCCUCAGACUGCCAUACACUGCAAGGGCCCCCCUUCCCUCCCUAGCGCCGCCGCGAGCCCCCUCCACGCGCCUCCCUCCCCUUGCCGCCGCCUCGACGUACUAGCAGGCAAAGCCCGGCAGUGCUGGCGGCGGCGGCGUGCUCUUCUUCCCCCGCUCUGUCUGGCGGGCGCGGAACUCCAGGUCAGGCGGUGGCUUGGGGUUUGCUCGGGGCACAGCAACAGCAGCCGCCGGUAG